rnacentral:rRNA from 1 species
UACAGAGGUCCCAAGCGUUGUUCGGAUUCAUUGGCGUAAAGGGUGCGUAGGCGGCGCGGUAAGUCGGGUGUGAAAUCUCGGGCUUAACUCCGAAACUGCAUUCGAUACUGCCGUGCUUGAGGACUGGAGAGGAGACUGGAAUUUACGGUGUAGCGGUGAAAUGCGUAGAUAUCGUAAGGAAGACCAGUGGCGAAGGCGGGUCUCUGGACAGUUCCUGACGCUGAGGCACGAAGGCCAGGGAGCAAACGGG